rnacentral:rRNA from 1 species
GAUGAACGCUAGCUACAGGCUUAACACAUGCCAGUCGAGGGGAAACGCCAUCGAAAGCUUGCUUUUGAUGGGCGUCGACCGGCGCACGGGUGAGUAACGCGUAUCCAACCUGCCCACCACUUGGGGAUAACCUUGCGAAAGUAGGACUAAUACCCAAUGAUAUCUCUAGAAGACAUCUGAAAGAGAUUAAAGAUUUAUCGGUGAUGGAUGGGGAUGCGUCUGAUUAGCUUGUUGGCGGGGUAACGGCCCACCAAGGCAACGAUCAGUAGGGGUUCUGAGAGGAAGGUCCCCCACAUUGGAACUGAGACACGGUCCAAACUCCUACGGGAGGCAGCAGUGAGGAAUAUUGGUCAAUGGACGAGAGUCUGAACCAGCCAAGUAGCGUGCAGGAAGACGGCCCUAUGGGUUGUAAACUGCUUUUAGAAGGGAAUAAAGUGAGUCUCGUGAGACUUUUUGCAUGUACCUUAUGAAUAAGGACCGGCUAAUUCCGUG